rnacentral:tRNA from 1 species
GGCGGGCUGUAGCAGGGGUGGUCCCUUGCCCCGGACUUCAAAUCCGUGGAACCCGGUAAGGGUUCGGGGUUCGAUUCCCCCAGUCCGCCG